UACGGGGGGGGCAAGCGUUGUUCGGAAUUACUGGGCGUAAAGGGCUUGUAGGUGGCCAACUAAGUCAGACGUGAAAUCCCUCGGCUUAACCGGGGAACUGCGUCUGAUACUGGAUGGCUUGAGUGUGGGAGAGGGAUGCGGAAUUCCAGGUGUAGCGGUGAAAUGCGUAGAGAUCUGGAGGAACACCGGUGGCGAAGGCGGCAUCCUGGACCAAUACUGACGCUGAGGAGCGAAAGCCAGGGGAGCAAACGGG
rnacentral:rRNA from 1 species